CCCUUAGAUGCUCUGGGCCGCACGCGCGCUACACUGAAGGGAUCAGCGUGUUUUCCCUUUCCGAGAGGAACGGGUAACCCGCUGAACCCCCUUCGUGGUAGGGAUCGGAGCUUGCAAUUGUUCUCCGUGAACCAGGAAUUCCCAGUAAGCGCAAGUCAUAAGCUUGCGUUGAUUACGUCCCUGCCCUUUGUACACACCGCCCGUCGCUACUACCGAUUGAACGUUUUAGUGAGGUAUUUGGACUGGGCCUUGGGAGGUUUCGGCCUCCCUUGUUGCUCGGAAAGACUCCCAAACUUGAGCGUUUAGAGGAAGUAAAAGUCGUAACA
rnacentral:rRNA from 1 species